rnacentral:lncRNA from 10 species
GCGCUCCCUCCCUGUGGAGUCUUCAACAGUGUUGGGGGACAGCCGCAUUCACCUGAGCGUCCUCCUGAAACCUCAAGCCAGGGGCUGCUGAGCUCUGCUGGACAGAAGUGAAGGCCUCCUCACAGGGCCGGCUCCAUGGCAAGUAACCUAAUUUCCCACUAGACACACUUCACUUGGGUAUGUCUAAUGGGGAGUGCCUGUGAGCCCUCAGGAAUAUCUCCCACAGGAUCUGAGAUGUGCUCCAACAACCAUCAUGAUCUUUCCAGUCAGGGAGAAGCAAACGGGAUUAACCAACUGCUUGUUUAUUGCCUACUGUUCAUGAGCAAGAGGUGAAGCAGCACAAGGUGUUCACCAGACACGGCUGCCCGAGCUUGGACUUCACAGCCUCCAGAACUGCGAGCCAAAAUAAACUUCUUUCCUUUAUAAAUUA